AGUUCGGAAGGGAGAGGCGGAAUUCCCAGGUGUAGUGGUGAAAUACGUAGAUAUCUGGAAGAACCCCAGAGGCGAAGGCGGCCCUCUUGGUCCGUAACUGACGCUGAGGCGCGAAAGCGUGGGGAGCAAACAGGAUUAGAUACCCCUGGUAGUCCACGCUGUAAACGAUGAAUACUAGGUGUUGGUCCCAUUGGGAUCCAGUGCCGCAGCAAACGCCAUUAAGUAUUCCCACCUGGGGAGUACGAUCCGCAAGGUUGAAACUCAAAGGAAUUGACGGGGGCCCGCACAAGGCAGUGGAGCAUGUGGUUUAAUUCGAUGCAACGCGAAGAACCUUACCGGGACUUGACAUUAUCCUGCCCGCCUAAGAAAUUAGGUUUUCUUUCCUUCGGGAAAGACGAGAUAACAGGUGGUGCAUGGUUGUCGUCAGCUCGUGUCGUGAGAUGUUGGGUUAAGUCCCACAACGAGCGCAACCCUUGUCCUUAGUUGCCAGUCUGUUUUCAGACGCACUCUAAGGAGACUGCCGCAGAUAAUGCGGAGGAAGGUGGGGAUGACGUCAAAUCAUCAUGCCCCUUACGUCCCGGGCUACACACGUGCUA
rnacentral:rRNA from 1 species